ensembl:lncRNA LINC01206 long intergenic non-protein coding RNA 1206
GGUGGGGCAGCUGAAUAAAAGCAACAGAUUUAAAAUUACAGAUCGCACUCCCACCCUGCCUACUUGGGUGGUAUUGGACAGGUGACUUUGACCUCUGGAGCCUCAGAGUCUCUUCCAAAAUAAGGGUGGCAGCAUUACCUCAUAGGGUUGUCAUAGCAGAAAACUAUGUGCAUGAAGAAUAUUGUCCUUAUCAUCAUUACUAUUAAGCUACAAGGACAUCAAACUGCCAGCUGAUACAAUGUCUUUUUUUUUUAUUUUAAGCAUGUUUCAAAGCCAUUUACUUUGGUCUCCUUUUAAGGAAAAUGACUUCCCCAGCAGCAGGAAUUGCUGAGAAAGUGAUAUUUAGUCAAGUGCUAAGAAGAGUGCUAUAAAACAUUGUUUAACCUGCAGAAGCAGUAUAAGUCUGUUGUUAAAAAAAAAAAAAAACACUAAAGAAAAACAUGCUUUCUAAAAAGUUCACUUCUACUCUAAUUGUUUCAAUCUUCUCCAGAGUUUCAAGAUUGUCAAGAAUGACGAGUUGGACUUGGUCUAGUUACUUCCACAGCAGCAGGAGGAACAUGUGUGUGACUCAGGAUAACUGGGGAAGCCUUGGCUAGGCUUUCCUCAUGUCAACCUACCACUCAAAGGGAGAAAACCUCCUGAUCAGAGGUGCCCAGAACCCAGGAAAUCCAUAAUUUUUGAAUGCUGGCCGAGGUCUGUGACCUCUGACUGAAUGGUUUCCAAGCUCCGAAUUCCUAGGUGAUGUUUUCAUUUGUUCACACUUGCUGAAGAAGGGAAAGGCUCUCUGAUUUACGUGUAAGCAAAACAAUCUAAACAGUAGGAUAAAAUCAUGUUGGAAUGGAGUUCUGUGUGGAUGCUCCUUUGAACCAAAUCAGUUCCACAACUGACCCUG